rnacentral:lncRNA from 1 species
UCCCAGCUAGUUCAUUCUGAGGAGAGGCAGCAGUUUCGUGCCGGGAGGCCGACUAGACUUCUAUUCCUCAUCUUCCAGAGUCCUUCCGUUGGAAUUGACAGCGGCGCCACGUCAGAAACGCCCGGAAGUCAGGGCAGCGCCACCGCGCACGCAGGGCACGGAGGUGAAGGCGGUGGCCAGGGAAACCUGCGGAACCAGGCCGCCCGCCCUGACGGGGCUCAGGACCUCCGAGCGCCCCGCCCCUCCUCUGCCUCGCAGCGGGCGGGCCGGGGGCUGAGGCGGCAGCAGGCCUUCGCCUCCACACGCAGUCCCCGUCCCGGGAGCGAGGCGGGAAGCGGCGCCCAGGCUUCGAGCUGCGCACGUUCCCACGCCGCCUACCCUCGGCCCCGCCCCCGACGCCCGCACGCGGGCUGCGCGCGGAGCAUUGUGGGCCGCACGGCCGACGGCGCCCCGCGGGAGGCCGGGGCUGACGGGCGGUGCUUCCUUCCGCGCCCCCACGCGGUUUCCGCAGCCCCGAGCAGGCUGUUACGUUUGCACACGCCUAGGGCCUUCAGCUUGGCGAAUCUCCCGCCCAGACCGAUGCUCUGUAGCAGACGUCAGUUGGGGGGCGGGGGAGGCGGUCCUUAUUGCUCUUCCUUGUGAAGGAUUCGAGAGGCGGUGGUUGAGAGCCCCGAAUUAGGGAUCCUAAUUCGAACGUAAUGUUCGAACGCCCUGAUGUAAUGGAUGAACGUAAUGUUCGAACGCCCUGAUGUAAUGGAUGAACGUAAUGUUCGAACGCCCAGAUGUAAUGUGAUGAACGUAAUGUUCGAACGCCCAGAUGUAAUGUGAUGAACGUAAUGUUCGAACGCCCAGAUGUAAUGCGAUGAACGUAAUGUUCGAACGCCCAGAUGUGCAGUCGGCUAGCUGUGUGUCUUUGAGCAAAUCACCCGACCUCUCUGAACUCCAGUUUCCUCGUUUGUAAGAUGGCAGAGGAAACAUUUAUCUCAGUGACCCCGUGGCUACGGGUAUUGUGAGAACCACCCUGGGUUCAGAUGCCAGCUGGACUACUUGCUUGGCUUAGCUGGCCUCUCUGUGCUUCCGUUUCCUGUGAAGUAAGGGAUCGGUGAACUAGGGAAUAAUGUUCGACUCAAAGGGUCAUAAUUAUAUGCAGUAAGCCUGGAAGAGCUUUCAGUCUAACACACUAUAGGAGCCCAAACAGUUAAUUAUUUAAGGUAUCUCAAUGUCUGCCACUUUGAAACCUAGGUAAAUGUCAGCUCUAAGUCUAGGUUUUCCUGCUCCACUUUUUCUCCUCUUGAAAGAGAAACAA